rnacentral:rRNA from 1 species
CGUACGCAACAUACCCGCUACUGGGGGAUAGCCUUCUGAAAAGGAGAUUAACACCCCAUAAUAUCAAUGACUGGCAUCAGUUGCUGAUUAAAAAUUUAUUGGUAGCGGAUUGGCGUGCGUCCUAUUAGCUAGUUGGUAUGGGUAAUGGCCUACCAAGGCGACGAUAGGUAGCUGGUGUGAGAGCACGACCAGCCACACGGGCACUGAGACACGGGCCCG